rnacentral:rRNA from 1 species
UACGUAGGGGGCUAGCGUUGUCCGGAAUCAUUGGGCGUAAAGAGCGUGUAGGCGGUCCGGUAAGUCCGCUGUGAAAGUCGGGGGCUCAACCCUCGAAUGCCGGUGGAUACUGUCGGGCUAGAGUGCGGAAGAGGCGAGUGGAAUUCCUGGUGUAGCGGUGAAAUGCGCAGAUAUCAGGAGGAACACCUAUUGCGAAGGCAGCUCGCUGGGACGUUACUGACGCUGAGACGCGAAAGCGCGGGGAGCAAACAGG